GACGAACGCUGGCGGCGUGCUUAACACAUGCAAGUCGAGCGGUAAGGCCCUUUCGGGGGUACACGAGCGGCGAACGGGUGAGUAACACGUGGGUGACCUGCCCUUAGCUCUGGGAUAAGCCUGGGAAACUGGGUCUAAUACCGGAUAUGACUCCAUAACGCAUGUUGUGGGGUGAAAGCCUUGUGCGGCUAGGGAUGGGCCCGCGGCCUAUCAGCUUGUUGGUGGGGUGAUGGCCUACCAAGGCGACGACGGGUAGCCGGCCUGAGAGGCGACCGGCCACACUGGGACUGAGACACGGCCCAGACUCCUACGGGAGGCAGCAGUGGGGGAAUCUUGCGCAAUGGGCGAAAGCCUGACGCAGCGACGCC
rnacentral:rRNA from 1 species